rnacentral:rRNA from 1 species
UUGGGAAUAUUGGGCAAUGGGCGCAAGCCUGACCCAGCGACACCGCGUGGGGGACGAAGGCCUUCGGGUCGUAAACCCCUGUCAGGGGGGACGAAGUCCGCCGCAAGGCGGGUGACGGUACUCCCAGAGGAAGCCCCGGCUAACUACGUGCCAGCAGCCGCGGUAAGACGUAGGGGGCGAGCGUUGUCCGGAUUUACUGGGCGUAAAGCGCGUGCAGGCGGUCCGUUAAGUCUCGUGUGAAAUCCUCCGGCUCAACCGGAGAACGCCGCGGGAUACUGGCGGGCUUGAGGGCGGUAGAGGGUGAUGGAAUUCCCGGUGGAGCGGUGAAAUGCGUAGAUAUCGGGAGGAACGCCAGUGGCGAAGGCGGUCACCUGGGCCGUCCCUGACGCUGAGACGCGAAAGCUGGGGGAGCGAACGGGAUUAGAUACUCCGGUAGUCCCAGCCGUAAACGAUGCUCACUAGGUGUUGGGGGGUUACUCCCUCAGUGCCGCAGCUAACGCAUUAAGUGAGCCGCCUGGGUAGUACGGCCGCAAGGUUGA